rnacentral:tRNA from 1 species
CGGCGUGUAGCGCAGCCUGGUAGCGCACUACAAUGGGGUUGUAGGGGUCGGAGGUUCGAAUCCUCUCACGCCGA